CUACCUAUGGCAACAAGCAGCACAGUCACUCCUGAAUGAUCUUUCCUGUACUGUACUGUGUUUAGAUGCUACAUACCUCUCCCAUCAUCACCUUAGUUUUCUGGGGAACGUUGCACAAUGAAAGUGAUUGGAAGAGAGUUGGAGCACAAGGCACACAAGACUCUUCACAAAGUGUCUGUUCAGAUGUCCUGUUCUAGGUAUCAGAGGGCCCAAGGAUAACAUCCAGAUAAUCAAAAGUCUACACCAAGCAAAAAGCAUCUGGCCGAGUCCAACUGGAGAACAAGUAAAUCAGGACUAGGCUUGAAACCUAGUUAUCAAUAAAAUAUUUCAACAUCCUUUUCUGCAAACUCAAAAAUCUUCAGAGUGGUCUACUCCUUGGUGGCCAGGAAGCUCUGAAUCUUCAUCAAGGGAGGACCAGUCCACUAAGAAUAUGGGUUUCUCAAGACUUGGCUCUGAACAGGAACUUCAAGCUUUCAAUAUAAUUACAGUUUGUGUCAAAUUGUGAUCAAGUACAAUUGACUUUUGCCAGGAAAAUCCAAACGUGCUAGUAGCCAAAAUGGGGACUCUGAAAAGGUCUAAUUGUCAGCAGUUUUCCCACACUGGAGGUGCCAGCUUCAGAACUUGAGGAGUCCUGAGGGAAGCAUCCUCAACGGCUCCCAUGAAAGAGAACCAGCAAGCCAGCAAAACAGUCUCUCACACUAUCUUGGACAUUCCUGGGCGCUCUGUGGAUCUUGAGAAUGAUGAGUCUGAAGUAAAUGUGGGUCAGAGGUUGGAUCGGACAGGGAUACUUUUUUUAAACUACAGCUCCCAGAAUUCCUUCCACCAGCAUUACCAUUUUGAUAGGGGGAUGAUGGGAAAGGUAAUCCAAACAUGUAACAUUUUUCAAACUCUGCUGUCUGCCGUGGUAUCCUCUGCAGCCAAUCUUAAAAGGUUUAUUUUCAGAGUAUAUAUUUAUAGAUUUUACACGGGGAUAGCAAGAAGAAAUUCCCCUCCUUCCUUUCUCCUAUGAUACUACUCAACAAUAUCACCAGCAGGUCCAGAACCUCCAAAAAGAAGCACUGAUUCACCCAAUGCACAGGUGGCUGAUUGAAUUCUCUUCCACUGGCAAUGGGCACCAGGAUGGCUUUUAGCAGUUUUUACUCAAAAUGAAAUACAAAAGUCAUGGUGAAGAUUCUUUUCCAUAGGUUCAGUCAAUAGUCCCAUAGUCACUUUGAGAUGCCUACAACCAUACAGUCAGGGCAUAUCAUGGGGAAUGCUCUAAAAUCAUGAGAACC